rnacentral:rRNA from 1 species
GACGAACGCUGGCGGCGUGCUUAACACAUGCAAGUCGAACGGAGCGAAUGAAAGCUUGCUUUUAUAAGCUUAGUGGCAAACGGGUGAGUAACACGUAGACAACCUGCCGACAGGAUGGGGACAACAUUCCGAAAGGAAUGCUAAUACCGAAUGAAGCGCAGGAGAGGCAUCUCUCCUGCGUGAAAGAUGGCCUCUGAAUAUGCUAUCACCUGUUGAUGGGUCUGCGUCUGAUUAGCUGGUAGGUGAGGUAACGGCUCACCUAGGCGACGAUCAGUAGCCGGUCUGAGAGGAUGAACGGCCACAUUGGGACUGAGACACGGCCCAGACUCCUACGGGAGGCAGCAGUGGGGAAUCUUCCGCAAUGGGCGCAAGCCUGACGGAGCAACGCCGCGUGAGUGAAGAAGGUCUUCGGAUCGUAAAGCUCUGUUGAUGGGGACGAACGUGCCUAAUGCGAAUAGUAUUAGGUAAAGACGUACCCAUCGAGGAG